UUUGCAUCCUCAUUUUUGGUUGGAGAAUUCCCCAUCAUCUAUAUUGUGUAUCAACAAUGGUGUGGUGUGAAAAUAGCCAGACUCACAGGACCAGCUGAGAAUAGGAAGAUCUUAAGAGGAAGAGAUGUGCUAGUCCUAGACCUGCUGACAGGGAGAACCAUCAGAGGAUCACACCGAGGAGGACCUCUGCUGCUCACCAGUGCCUGGGAGAAGAGCUGGGGUGGAGGGGGGAGCAGAAGAUGCUCAACUUCCCCCAACCUCAUCCUGUUCCUGGACAUGGAUCAACUCAGCUGGAUCCAACACUCUACAUCUUCCUGAGCAGACCUCAGAAGUAGGGUAGCUGAGCUCUCAGGAAUAGUGUAAGACUGGAAGAAGAAAACCUCAUGAAUGGAUCCGAUGUAUUUUGGACAAAAGAUGUUGGGGGAGGACUACAGAGCAAGAAAUGGUCACUGUGACUGUCCUGAUCAUGCCAUCCAUUGUAUAGCCUGGGUAAGUUAAGGUCACUCAGAAAAAAAAUCUCCCACUCCCCCAAAGCCAAAAAGAAACCCAUUUUGAGUGACAGUUUUAAAGCAGUAGAGACAUCUUAAUUAGAAAUCCUUGCUGUGCCAACACUGCAUCGUGCUUUGCAGUAGCACCACACUGCCAAAUUGCAUAGGUGAGGUGCAGCUCUCAGAGUUCAGACAAGUGCAGAAGAACACCAGAAUAUCCACAGGUCCCCAGUGUGUAGCACAGAUCCUUCCUCUUCACAGUUUGCAGCACAGAGUUCUGGCAUGGCUUAGUCACAGGCGGAAGAUUUACAGAUUUGCCCUGUCCAUGCAACAGCCUGUGGUAAUGGGCAGCUGCAGAUUGAGGCCUGAGCAGCAUUUACUCCACUGAAUCUGGAGCUGCUUUCUCACUGCAUCACUGUUCAGAGCACAGUCCAGCUACUUGAAUGUUGUCUGUAAAUCCCAGCACAUUUCCAAUAGACCAUGGGAGUGACUUGCAAUUAGAUAAAAAUAACAUUGGGUGUAUUUCAUCAGCAUUGUUAUCAACUUUCAAUGUUUAAAACAGGAAGGAUUUGAAAAUCAACAUUUAAAAUAGCUCACACAUCACUUCAUGUUCCCGGGUUUUAUGGCUGAACAGGAGAGCUGUGUGUUUUAAAGACCACUUUACGAAGAGUGCUGUCCCUUGGUGCAGUUCAGUGACAGCUGAAGCACAAGCUCAUCUUCAGACAGCUGAGACAUCACAGCAACCCUGACAUGUGACUGCUGCCACUCAUGCACGGGACCCUGUGCCUUAGCCAGAGCUCCCGGCAUUCCAAAAGUCCACUCGCGUGGCAAUGAUUUGGAAACAAAAGGUACCUGGUAGCAACAGAAACAGGCAGAGGUGAAUAAAAGAGGAAUGAGAAAAC
rnacentral:lncRNA from 1 species